GAGGAAAUACGCUUUUUCUUGGUCAUUUGACCAUAAGUUCAUGGAUUAUAAGCAAGGAACAAGGGGAAAGUGAAAGGAGCACUCCCUAGAUAGGACAAAUUAGAAAAAUAACACAGGGUCCUAUUCUCUCAGCUCUAGAUAUGAUGUGCCCACCACAGAACUGCCCACAUUGGGUGAAUAAAGAGGCAAGGCAGAGGAUGCGGCUCUCCAGGGACAGGAAUCUGGAACUCUCCUCACAGUCUACUGAAUGCCUUUUCUCCAGGACUGAGAUACCUCCCUUCAACAAUCCCGAUCGACCCCAGUGCCAGCUAUGGUUGCACUCAAGCUUGUCAGUGCAAACUGGUAAUUACUACCUCGAGGAGACCUGAUCGACCUAUUGCAAUAGAAGUUGGAUUUCCCCAGGAGAAGCCUCGGUUGGAUCUACUCACUGAGAGGAAUCUAGAAUACUCUGGUGGAUAAUGGUAUCUACUGGAAAAUGGAUUUCUGGUGUUUUGCUCCACAACAGAUGGGAAUGAAUCACCAAGCCUUCCCAAUGAUGAUAGAUGGUAAGUUCCCUACUGCCAGCAGCACAGCUCUGAGCUAGUCUGAUGGAUAAACCUUGCUUAUCAUGGUUGAGGCAUAGGAUAGAGAUGACUACAAAUAAAACCCACUUACAUCAUGAAUCCAUUCAUCAACAGGUUACAUGUAGAAAUGCUUAAAUGGACUUUCAACUUUUACCAUAAACUUACAUAGAACUAUGAAUACUGCCAGACAACCACAGUGGCUAUUUAACUCUGGAAUGGCAUGAGAAAUGAGCACAGUUGUGAAAUGAAUGCUUAACAAAUGGUGCAUACGAGAAAACAAAUAGUUGGACAACAAAAAUUUUGGGUUGUCACCAAUGCGGGUUAAUCUAUACGUGUACUCGUACAUUUAAUAUAUAUAUAUCUAUAUAUCUUUCUUUAGAAAUGCAACUUUACAGCUGAUCUUUUUUUUUUAAAAAGCUAAUAGAAAAGUAGAAACUGGCGAUUCUUUUUACAUGUUUCCCCACCCCCAAAUGAAGCCCUGUUAACAUGUGGCAAUCACAUGAAGAUGAGGUUGUAAAUUUCUCUAUAAAUUCUUUGGUUCUGGAAAGGGCGGAUCACCUAGACUCCUACCCCUGAUCCUUGCUCCCCUUCCCUCCCCUAAUGACAACACUGAACACAGAAGCAACCAAGUCUAAGGGUUAAGCCACAGACAUUCAAGCGACAAUCGUAUUUCCCAUGCUCUGCUGAGGAGAGAAAGGGACACCUUUCAGUAUCCCGACAUCUCAAGUUUGGAGUCCAUGGAACUUUAUGUGUAGGGGGGAGAUUCCAUGUUGGGUAAAAGCCAUAAAACAAAACUAAAGGGAAACAAUAAAAUCAAACAAAUGACCCUUUCCUUUUGUUGCUUAAAGAAACAAAAUCGAUUACCUUUGUACAGAUCAAUGACGCUAUAAGUAUUUUAGCCAGGCAAAAGAAGGUAAUGAACUGAGACAAAAAGGUGUGAGAAUCCUCAUCUUUGGUAUUGUAGCUGUUGAGGUUUCUGUUGCUCUGUUUCCAUGUUCUUUUGAAAAACUGCAUAGGCACAAAUUAAAGACAAUCUUCAACGUUAAGAUUACCGAGUGAGUUGUCAUAUGAAGCAGCAGCCAUUGAGGCUCGUCUGUUGAUUUGUGUCUCAACCCUUUCUUUCAAAUCUGCUUCC
rnacentral:lncRNA from 1 species